rnacentral:rRNA from 1 species
GAAUCCCGUCUUUGGCAUGGACCCCCAGUGCUUCUGUGAUGCGCUCUCGAAGAGUCGAGUUGUUUGGGAAUGCAGCUCAAAAUGGGUGGUGAACUCCAUCUAAAGCUAAAUAUUGGCGAGAGACCGAUAGCGAACAAGUACCGUGAGGGAAAGAUGAAAAGAACUUUGGAAAGAGAGUUAAACAGUACGUGAAAUUGCUGAAAGGGAAACGCUUGAAGUCAGUCGCGUUGGCCAGGGAUCAGCCUCGCUCCUGCGUGGUGUACUUUCUGGUUGACGGGUCAGCAUCAAUUUUGACCGCUGGAAAAAGGCGUAGGGAAUGUGGCAGUUUCGGCUGUGUUAUAGCCCUUUGUCAUAUACAGCGGUUGGGAUUGAGGAACUCAGCACGCCGCAAGGCCGGGUUUCGACCACGUUCGUGCUUAGGAUGCUGGCAUAAUGGCUUUAAGCGACCCGUCUUGAAACACGGACCAAGGAGUCUAACAUGCCUGCGAGUGUUUGGGUGGAAAACCCGAGCGCGUAAUGAAAGUGAAAGUUGAGAUCCCUGUCGUGGGGAGCAUCGACGCCCGGACCAGAACUUUUGGGACGGAUCCGCGGUAGAGCAUGUAUGUUGGGACCCGAAAGAUGGUGAACUAUGCCUGAAUAGGGUGAAGCCAGAGGAAACUCUGGUGGAGGCUCGUAGCGAUUCUGACGUGCAAAUCGAUCGUCAAAUUUGGGUAUAGGGGCGAAAGACUAAUCGAACCAUCUAGUAGCUGGUUCCUGCC